rnacentral:rRNA from 1 species
AACGAACGCUGGCGGCAGGCCUAACACAUGCAAGUCGAGCGAGGACUUCGGUCCUAGCGGCGGACGGGUGAGUAACGCGUGGGAACGUGCCCUUUGCUUCGGAAUAGCCCUGGGAAACUGGGAGUAAUACCGGAUGAGCCCUGUGGGGGAAAGAUUUAUCGGCGAAGGAUCGGCCCGCGUUGGAUUAGGUUGUUGGUGGGGUAAUGGCCUACCAAGCCGACGAUCCAUAGCUGGUUUGGGAGGAUGAUCAGCCACACUGGGACUGAGACACGGCCCAGACUCCUACGGGAGGCAGCAGUGGGGAAUCUUAGACAAUGGGGGAAACCCUGAUCUAGCCAUGCAGCGUGAGCGAUGAAGGCCUUAGGGUUGUAAAGCUCUUUAAGCUGGGAAGAUAAUGACGGUACCAGCAGAAGAAGCCCCGGCUAACUCCGUG